CACGACAUUAGCUCUUGAAGCGCCUUCAUAAGAAUUGUCAUUUUUAUCUCUUGUCUUAGACUCCUCUAUUCGAAGAUGUUUUUGCAAUUGCUCUAAAAAAUAAUCUUCGAAACUAUGCAUGAUUUUCUCUCGAUAUCGUUUUCAAGUUUUGGAAAGUUACGCAAUAAUUGCUCUCACUUCGAAAGUUUUCGGAAUUUCAAUUUUGACCACCUUCAACUUGUAGACAAGCACUUGUAAUUCAUGAAUUUGGGAAGAAGGGAAAUAUUUUCAAAAAAUUUAAAAUUAAAAAUAUCUUUGUAUCUUCUUCUUCGAAUUUGUAGUUACUUUCCAAAGCGUUCCAGAUUUCCUUUGUUGAUGAUGUCUUGGUGUAGAGAUAGAGCGUUGAGAAUAUGGUCGUAGCAUAUAAGUUCAUCCUCUUGCGCUUUCGUCUUUCGAUUUUUUCAAUUUCUCCAUUUGUUGGUUCUAGUAGUGAUGCCAAUUUGUGAUCGAGUAUGUGAAAUAUCUUCAACACCAUGAGUAAAAAUUUCAAUUUGUCUUGCCAUCUCGUGAAAUUGGUGCCAUCAAGGCGAUCCAAUCGAACAAGGUCUUGAUUCAUCAACUUGAUCAUUGCCAUAGUGUUUCGUUCUCCAUUGCAAAAUAUUGUUUAAGAUUGUAGUUAAAUAAAGUUUGCACAAAGAGAAAUAGAGAAUAAACAAAUAAGAAAUGACGAGAAGAUGAAGAUGAAAGUGAAGAUGAAGGUCCGAAUACGUUAUUGUUGUCCUCAAACGGUAUUUGCCCCCUCUCGAAUUGAAUUAAGACAGUUGAAGGGAUAUUGACAAAAGGUUUGCAGGAUUUAUCAAGUCUUGGUAAGGAUUUAACACUCAAGCAUUAGUGAAAUCUUCCAAAACUUGAGAAUGCAAAAGUGGGGUUUGAAUAUGAGAAGAAAAUGGAUUUUCAACACUUUGGAAUGAAAAAUUGAUCUCAAAUACGGGUUUAUGAU
rnacentral:lncRNA from 1 species